rnacentral:rRNA from 1 species
AAGAGAGAGACAUGCGCGCAUAUCAAUAAGCGGAGGAAAAGAAACUAACUAGGAUUCCCUCAGUAACGGCGAGUGAAGCGGGAAGAGCUCAAAUUUGAAAUCUUCAAGGUUCUACCUUGACGAAUUGUAGUUUAAAGAAGUGUUUUCUGUUGGAGUUUUGGUAAAAGUUCUUUGGAAUAGGACAUCAUAGAGGGUGAGAAUCCCGUAUUUGACCAUUAUUUCCAGCUUUGUGAUACACUUUCAAAGAGUCGGAUUGUUUGGGAAUGCAGUCCAAAAUGGGUGGUAAAUUUCAUCUAAAGCUAAAUAUUGGCGAGAGACCGAUAGCGAACAAGUACCGUGAGGGAAAGAUGAAAAGGAACUUUGAAAAGAGAGUUAAACAGUACGUGAAAUUGUCAAAAGGGAAGCGUUUGACACCAGUGUUGUUUUCUCGAAAAUCAAUUAAAAAAGGCAGGAUUUUGUGUUGUAUUGACUUUAUCAGCUUUCUGCACUCUCUUUCUUGUCUUUUUUAAUGCACUUUUCGUUUAACAAGUCAACAUCAAUUUCUUUUGUUGUAAAAGGGUCAUUGGAAGGUGGCUUUCUUUUCGGAGAAAGUGUUUAUAGCCUUUGGCCUCUGCGAAUCGGAGAGAUUGAGGUCUGCAGCGUAGAUCCUUCGGGGUUAGAUACAUUUGUGCUAAGUUAUAGCCUUUCAUAGACAACUUGUUGACUAUGAUCAGUCAUGUAGCUUACUCGCUUAUGCUAUUUUACCUACGCUUAGGAUGUUGAUGUGAUACUGCGAGCA